rnacentral:lncRNA from 1 species
CUGCGGCGCGCUAGGGGGCGCUGCGGGCUGCUGCGUGCCGGGGUGGUGCCGCUGGCCGGUCGCACUGGGGGGGCUCGGCAGGGAGCGUCCGCCAGCCGUGGUCUUGUGCGGGGGAUGUCCGAGUUUUCCUCCUAAGGGCACCCGGAUAACGGAUUUUGGAAUGUUAAAGGCGUGCCGUUAAAGACAUUCAGCCGUUAAAGCGAGGAAGCCUGCAAGAGCAAUGAGUUCUACCUGCUGAAGUACUGACUGGAGAAGUUGGUGUGUUGUGAAUGGAACCUACUAGAAACCACGUUGAUCCGUCCUGGGGGGUGCACCUGCAGUCCUUUCAGAUUUGCCCUUCAGCCCUGCAGCCCUGCUCGCUUCACAGCGGGACGGAGGGACACUGCCUGCGCGCCAGGGUGCCGCAGCAGCAGCAGCUCCACAGAAUGGAGGUCAGACUCCUCAGCAUGCAGGGUGUGUUACUGGAGCAGGUGCUGCAGCAUUGAAGGGAGGUGAUCUUGCCUGAAGGAUCAUGAAUUACAUGGCAUUUAACAGAGAUGUACGUACUUUCUAAGUCUUGCCAUGAGUGCACUGUUGAAUAAACUGCAGUCACCCAGAUAUGAAUGUCUGCUUCUGACUGGAAAGAGAACUUCUCCAAAUGUGUUCAAAUAAUCAACAAUUCUACAGUGUGCAUUGUAUGUCACUGUGGUUGGUUGCUGGUGUCAAACAAAAGAUGCUGUGGCAUUGCUUAGUCACCUUACACGCUGAACACACAUACAAGACAGCACUUGUAUCCUACUGUGUACCAGUCCAUCAAUGAAGAAUAGUGGAAAGACUGGGCAAUACUUGAAAAUUAUAAAUAAAAAUGAUGAUCUGUAUUUCUGGAUAACUACAAAUACUGGUGCUUGUUCUGGAGUGUUUUCACAAAACUUGUAGGAAACCAUCAGUAAAUUUUGGUUAAAUGUAACCGUCUUCAGUCCACCCAACCACAUGUCCUCUGUACAUGUUUUGACUCUACAUUCAAAGAAAAAACACAGUUAUUUCCAAACAGAAGAUUUAGAAA